AUUGAACGCUGGCGGCAGGCCUAACACAUGCAAGUCGAGCGGAGCGGCGGACGGAUGAGUAAUGCCUAGGUAUCUGCCUUGUCGUUUGGGCUAACGUCCGGAAACGGGCCCUAAUACCGCAUACUAUCAGAUGACCCUAGGUCGGAUUAGCUAGUUGGUGUGGUAAAGGCGUACAAAGGCGACGAUCCGUAACUGGUCUGAGAGGAGGAUCAGUCACACUGGAACUGAGACACGGUCCAGACUCCUACGGGAGGCAGCAGUGGGGAAUAUUGGACAAUGGGCGAAAGCCUGAUCCAGCCAUGCCGCGUGUGUGAAGAAGGUCUUCGGAUUGUAAAGCACUGUAAGUUGGGAGGCGUUACCAACAGAAUAAGCACCGGCUAACUUCGUGCCAGCAGCCGCGGUAAUAC
rnacentral:rRNA from 1 species